rnacentral:rRNA from 1 species
CCUACGGUGGGCUGCAGUCGAGAAUCAUUCACAAUGGGGGAAACCCUGAUGGUGCGACGCCGCGUGGGGGAAUGAAGGUCUUCGGAUUGUAAACCCCUGUCAUGUGGGAGCAAAUUAAAAAGAUAGUACCACAAGAGGAAGAGACGGCUAACUCUGUGCCAGCAGCCGCGGUAAUACAGAGGUCUCAAGCGUUGUUCGGAAUCACUGGGCGUAAAGCGUGCGUAGGCUGUUUCGUAAGUCGUGUGUGAAAGGCGCGGGCUCAACCCGCGGACGGAACAUGAUACUGCGAGACUAGAGUAAUGGAGGGGGGACCGGAAGUCUCGGUGUAGGAGUGAAAUUGGUAGAUAGCGAGAGGAACACUCGUGGCGAAGGCGGGUUCCUGGACAUUAACUGACGCUGAGGCACGAAGGCCAGGGGAGCGAAAGGGAUUAGAUACCCUAGUAGUC